ACGGGGUCUAAUACCGGAUAUGACCUUCCUCCGCAUGGGGGUUGGUGGAAAGCUCCGGCGGUGCAGGAUGAGCCCGCGGCCUAUCAGCUUGUUGGUGGGGUAAUGGCCUACCAAGGCGACGACGGGUAGCCGGCCUGAGAGGGCGACCGGCCACACUGGGACUGAGACACGGCCCAGACUCCUACGGGAGGCAGCAGUGGGGAAUAUUGCACAAUGGGCGAAAGCCUGAUGCAGCGACGCCGCGUGAGGGAUGACGGCCUUCGGGUUGUAAACCUCUUUCAGCAGGGAAGAAGCGCAAGUGACGGUACCUGCAGAAGAAGCACCGGCUAACUACGUGCCAGCAGCCGCGGUAAUACGUAGGGUGCGAGCGUUGUCCGGAAUUAUUGGGCGUAAAGAGCUCGUAGGCGGCCUGUCGCGUCGGAUGUGAAAGCCCGGGGCUUAACCCCGGGUCUGCAUUCGAUACGGGCAGGCUAGAGUGUGGUAGGGGAGAUCGGAAUUCCUGGUGUAGC
rnacentral:rRNA from 1 species